GAAGCGAUGAAGGACGUGGCUACCGGCGAAACGUUUCGGGGAGUUGGAAGUAAGCUUUGAUCCGAAAAUAUCCGAAUGAGGAAACUCUUUAACUUCUUCUUGAAUCUAUAAAGAAAGAAAGAGCAAACCUAGGGAAUUGAAACAUCUUAGUACCUAGAGGAAAAGAAAGUAAAAACGAUUCCCUUAGUAGUGGCGAACGAAAAGGGAACAGCCUAAACUUUUCUUUUUAUUAAAAAGAAAAGGGUUGAGGGAAAGAAAAUUCUGUCAAGAGAAAAUAAUUUAAAGUUUAUCUUUAAAGGAAUAGAAAUUAGGUGAAAAAAUUGGAAAAUUUUACCAAAGAAAGUGAUAGUCUUGUAACCGAAAAUUUCUUAAAAAAUCUUAUAUCCCGAGUAGCAUGGGGCACGUGGAAUCCCGUGUGAAUCUGCGAGGACCACCUCGUAAGGCUAAAUAUUCCUGGAUGUCCGAUAGCGAAGAGUACCGCGAGGGAAAGGUGAAAAGAACCCCGGGAGGGGAGUGAAAUAGAACGUGAAAUUGCAAGCCCACAAACAGAAGAAGAACGACUUAGCGUUUUACUUCGUGCCUGUUGAAGAAUGUUCCGGCGACUUAAAGUUAGUGGCAUUGGUUAAGAUAGAGAUGUCGGAGCCAUAGUGAAAGCGAGCUUGAAAAGAGCGUCAAUUGUCACUAGUUUUAGACCCGAACCCGGUUGAUCUAACCAUGGCCAGGAUGAAACUUAGGUAACACUGAAUGGAGGUCCGAACCGACUGAUGUUGAAAAAUCAGCGGAUGAGCUGUGGUUAGGGGUGAAAUGCCAAUCGAAACCGGAGCUAGCUGGUUCUCCCCGAAAUGUAUUUAGGUGCAGCGGUUAAUCUUUUAGCGUAGGGGUAAAGCACUGUUUCGGUGCGGGCUGGUAAUUCGGUACCAAAUCGAGGCAAACUCUGAAUACUACGUGUACAAUUAACCAGUAAGACUAUGGGGGAUAAGCUUCAUAGUCAAGAGGGAAACAGCCCAGAUCACCAGCUAAGGCCCCUAAAUAAUUACUAAGUGAUAAAGGAAGUGGAAGGGCUUUGACAACCAGGAGGUUUGCUUAGAAGCAGCAAUCCUUUAAAAAGUGCGUAAUAGCUUACUGGUCUAGCAAUUCUGCGCCGAAAACUUAUGGGACUAAGUAAUUUGCCGAAGCUGUGAGAUAUUAAGAAUUUAAUAUCGGUAGGGGAGCGUUCUGCGGUAGAUUGAAGUGUUAGCGAAAGCGGGCAUGGACGAAACAGAAGUGAGAAUGUCGGAUUGAGUAGCGAAAACAUUGGUGAGAAUCCAAUGCUCCGAAAACCUAAGGUUUCCUCCGCAAGGCUCGUCCACGGAGGGUGAGUCAGGACCUAAGGUGAGGCUGAGAAGCGUAGCUGAUGGACAAUAGGUUAAUAUUCCUAUACUAAUUUUUACUGGUAUCGAGGGACGAAGAAGGCUAAACUAGCCAGAGAUUGGUUACUGGUUUAAAUUUUCAAGGUGUUGAAGGUUAGUGAAAAUAACUUGAGCUGAGAAAUGAAUACAAGAUUUUAAAAAUCAAAGUAGUUGAUGUCAUACUUCCAAGAAAAGCUCGCUAUGCCUUAAGUAAAAAUUACCUGUACCUUAAACCGACACAGGUAGGUAGGUAGAGAAUACCAAGGAGCGCGGGAGAACCCUCCUUAAGGAACUCGGCAAAAUAACUCUGUAACUUCGGAAGAAAGAGUGCCUUUUAGGCUGCAAUAUCAAGUUCCAAGCAACUGUUUAGCAAAAACACAGGUCUCCGCUAAGUUGUAAAACGACGUAUGGAGGCUGACGCCUGCCCAGUGCUGGAAGGUUAAAGAAGUCGGUUAGCGUAAGCAAAGCUGGUAACUGAAGCCCCAGUGAACGGCGGCCGUAACUAUAAACCAGGACCAAUUGUAGUUAUAAAAUUUAGCUAUAUGCUGGAAUAUCUCGACUUAAAAUUUCAUUACUCAUCAAUUAAGAAAGCAGACAGUUAACUGUCUCUUGUACAAAUUGGCAGUGAAAAUAUGGAAAAUAGAGACAAUCAGCAGGAAAGAGUUUGAAGAUUAGAUCCACAUAUAUGGAAAAAAAAUAUUGAAAAUUUCAAUUUAGAUGAAACACGUCCCAUUCCUGUACGUCCAGUUAUUCCAGCAAAUAAAGGCUUUUUAUGUCUCUGGAUUUGUAGAUGGAGAAGGAAGUUUUUUUGCAACUGCUAGAAAACGCCCGGAUUAUACAACAGGAUGGAAAUUUACAGCAAAUUUUGCUGUAGGUAAUAAAGACAUUAGUACUCUAGAUCUAUGUAAAGAAUGUAUUGGUUUUGGUGAAGUAAGAGAAUCGAAAGAGAAGUUUUAUGUUUUAGAGAUUUCAAAUCGAAGAGCAUUAGAACAACUUGUUGUUCCCUUUUUUGAAGAUUAUCCUUUUCAAACUGUUAAAAAAGAGUAUGAGUUUAAACUUUUUAAAAGACUUUUAGAUCUUUUAGAUAAAAAAAUGAGUACAACUUUAGAUUUAGAAAAUUUUUUAACUAUUCGACGAGAAUUUGAUCUUUAUCGAAAUGCUCGAUCAUCCAAUACAGAUGAAAUUAUUCGAAAAACAUUUAAACCUAUAGGUGAGAAAUAAUUCAAAAAAUCCUCAGAGACUACACGCUAAACAACAAAGAAAUUUUGUUGAUGAUAUAGUCCGAUCUUUAUGGUGACAUAAAGGUAAAGAAAAGUCUACCCUUUCCUUUACGUUUUUGGGAUUUACAAGUCUCAAAGAUUAACACAAAUGAACGGUCCUAAGGUAGCGAAAUUCCUUGUCAGGUAAGUUCUGACCCGCACGAAUGGCGUAAUGAUUUGGAAGCUGUCUCGAGGAGGGACUCGGUGAAAUAGAACUGUCUGUGAAGAUGCGGACUACCUGCGCCUGGACAGUAAGACCCUAUGAAGCUUUACUGUAGCCUGAAAUUGGAUUUCGAUUUUCUUUGCGCAGAAUAGGUGGGAGACGGUGAAAAAAUUCUUUAGGGAAUUUUGGAGUCAACAGUGAGAUACCACUCUGAGAAAAUUAAAAUUCUAACUUCAUACCGUUAGCCGGUUGAAAGACAGUUUCAGGUGGGCAGUUUGACUGGGGCGGUCGCCUCCUAAAAGGGGACGGAGGCGUACAAAGGUUCCCUCAGAUCGGUCAGAAAUCGAUCUUCGAGUGCAAAGGCAAAAGG
rnacentral:rRNA from 1 species